rnacentral:rRNA from 1 species
CAGUAGCCGCGGUAAUACGAAGGGUGCAAGCGUUAAUCGGAAUUACUGGGCGUAAAGCGCACGCAGGCGGUCUGACAAGUCAGAUGUGAAAUCCCCGGGCUUAACCUGGGAACUGCAUUUGAAACUGUCAGGCUGGAGUCUUGUAGAGGGGGGUGGAAUUCCAGGUGUAGCGGUGAAAUGCGUAGAGAUCUGGAGGAAUACCGGUGGCGAAGGCGGCCCCCUGGACAAAGACUGACGCUCAGGUGCGAAAGCGUGGGGAGCAAACAGGAUUAGAUACCCGCGUAGUCCCUGUCUCUUAUAA